AAAACGACUCUCGGUAACGGAUAUCUCGGCUCUCGCAUCGAUGAAGAACGUAGCGAAAUGCGAUACUUGGUGUGAAUUGCAGAAUCCCGUGAACCAUCGAGUCUUUGAACGCAAGUUGCGCCCGAAGCCUUUAGGCCGAGGGCACGCCUGCCUGGGCGUCACA
rnacentral:rRNA from 1 species